rnacentral:rRNA from 1 species
UACGGAGGGUGCGAGCGUUGUCCGGAAUCAUUGGGCGUAAAGGGCGCGUAGGUGGCCUGGUAAGCGUGCGGUGAAAGCCUGGGGCUCAACCCCGGGUCGGCCGUGCGAACUGCUAGGCUUGAGCACUGUAGAGGCAGGCGGAAUUCCGGGUGUAGCGGUGGAAUGCGUAGAGAUCCGGAAGAACACCGGUGGCGAAAGCGCUCUGCUAGGCCGCAACUGACACUGAGGGACGAAAGCUAGGGGAGCGAAUGGG